rnacentral:rRNA from 1 species
UGGGGAAUUUUGGACAAUGGGGGAAACCCUGAUCCAGCCAUCCCGCGUGUGCGAUGAAGGCCUUCGGGUUGUAAAGCACUUUUGGCAGGAAAGAAACGUCAUGGGUUAAUACCCCGUGAAACUGACGGUACCUGCAGAAUAAGCACCGGCUAACUACGUGCCAGCAGCCGCGGUAAUACGUAGGGUGCAAGCGUUAAUCGGAAUUACUGGGCGUAAAGCGUGCGCAGGCGGUUCGGAAAGAAAGAUGUGAAAUCCCAGAGCUCAACUUUGGAACUGCAUUUUUAACUACCGGGCUAGAGUGUGUCAGAGGGAGGUGGAAUUCCGCGUGUAGCAGUGAAAUGCGUAGAUAUGCGGAGGAACACCGAUGGCGAAGGCAGCCUCCUGGGAUAACACUGACGCUCAUGCACGAAAGCGUGGGUAGCAAACAGG